rnacentral:rRNA from 1 species
UGCGCCCUACGGGGCGCAGCAGUGGGGAAUAUUGCGCAAUGGGGAAACCCUGACGCAGCAACGCCGCGUGCGGGAUGAAGGCCUUCGGGUUGUAAACCGCUUUCAGCAGGGAAGAUCCAAGACGGUACCUGCAGAAGAAGCCCCGGCUAACUACGUGCCAGCAGCCGCGGUAAUACGUAGGGGCAAGCGUUAUCCGGAUUCAUUGGGCGUAAAGCGCGCGCAGGCGGGUUGCGAAGCGGGACCUCUC